AUUGAACGCUGGCGGCAGGCCUAACACAUGCAAGUCGAACGGUAACAGAAAGCAGCUUGCUGCUUUGCUGACGAGUGGCGGACGGGUGAGUAAUGUCUGGGAAACUGCCUGAUGGAGGGGGAUAACUACUGGAAACGGUAGCUAAUACCGCAUAACGUCGCAAGACCAAAGAGGGGGACCUUCGGGCCUCUUGCCAUCGGAUUGGCCCAGAUGGGAUUAGCUUGUUGGUGGGGUAACGGCUCACCAAGGCGACGAUCCCUAGCUGGUCUGAGAGGAUGACCAGCCACACUGGAACUGAGACACGGUCCAGACUCCUACGGGAGGCAGCAGUGGGGAAUAUUGCACAAUGGGCGCAAGCCUGAUGCAGCCAUGCCGCGUGUAUGAAGAAGGCCUUCGGGUUGUAAAGUACUUUCAGCGGGGAGGAAGGGAGUAAAGUUAAUACCUUUGCUCAUUGACGUUACCCGCAGAAGAAGCACCGGCUAACUCCGUG
rnacentral:rRNA from 1 species